UACAGAGGGUGCGAGCGUUAAUCGGAAUUACUGGGCGUAAAGCGCGCGUAGGCGGCUUUGCAAGUCGGGUGUGAAAUCCCCAGGCUUAACCUGGGAACUGCAUUCGAGACUGCAAUGCUAGAGUAUGGGAGAGGGAAGUGGAAUUUCCGGUGUAGCGGUGAAAUGCGUAGAUAUCGGAAGGAACAUCAGUGGCGAAAGCGACUUCCUGGACCAAUACUGACGCUCAUGUGCGAAAGCGUGGGGAGCAAACAGG
rnacentral:rRNA from 1 species